rnacentral:autocatalytically_spliced_intron from 1 species
AACCGCCGUGUACGGACCCGUACGCACUGUGGUGUGGGAGGGGUCGGGCCGUGAGGCCUGCCCCUAUCCCCAU